rnacentral:rRNA from 1 species
GACGAACGCUGGCGGCGCGCCUAACACAUGCAAGUCGAACGGUGAAGAGGAGCUUGCUCCUCGGAACAGUGGCGGACGGGUGAGUAACACGUGAGCAACCUGGCUCUAGGAGGGGGACAACAGUUGGAAACGACUGCUAAUACCGCAUGACGUAUCGGGAUGGCAUCUUCCUGAUACCAAAGAUUUUAUCGCUUAGAGAUGGGCUCGCGUCUGAUUAGAUAGUUGGCGGGGUAACGGCCCACCAAGUCGACGAUCAGUAGCCGGACUGAGAGGUUGAACGGCCACAUUGGGACUGAGACACGGCCCAGACUCCUACGGGAGGCAGCAGUGGGGGAUAUUGGACAAUGGGGGCAACCCUGAUCCAGCGACGCCGCGUGAGGGAAGAAGGUUUUCGGAUUGUAAACCUCUGUUGACGGAGAAAAAAAUGAUGGUAUCCGUUUAGAAAGCCACGGCUAACUACGUG